ACAUCUAAGUACCCGGAGGAAGAGAAAUCAAACGAGAUGCCCACAGUAGCGGCGAGCGAAGAGGGCAGAGGGCAAACCGGUGAGCUACGGCUCGCCGGGGUUGAGGACUGCAUUUAGUUUCAAUGGUCUAUCCGAACUACCUGGAAAGGUAGGCAAUACAGUGUAAAAGCCACGUAGGUUAAAGACCGGAGAGAUGAGCAGUAUCCAGAGUACCACGAGGCACGAGGAAUCUUGUGGGAAGCCGGGGGGACCACCCUCCAACCCUAAACACUGAAUGGCGACCGAUAGCGCAUAGUACCGUGAGGGAAAGGUGAAAAGAACCCCGGGAGGGGAGUGAAAGAGAACCUGAAACCGUAUGUCUACAAGCAGUCGGAGCGAAAGCGACGGCGUGCCUAUUGAAGAAUGAACCAACGAGUUACGUGCACUAGCGAGGUUAAGUGGAAGACACGGAGCCGAAGCGAAAGCGAGUCUUAAGAGGGCGGAUAGUUAGUGUACGUAGACCCGAAACCGCAGUGAUCUACCCAUGUCCAGGUUGAAGCGCAGGUAAAAUUGCGUGGAGGACCGAACCUGUGAGCGUUGAAAAGCUUUAGGAUGAGAUGUGGGUAGAGGUGAAAUUCCAAUCGAACGCGGAGAUAGCUGGUUCUCCCCGAAAUAGCUUUAGGGCUAGCCUCAAGUAGUAAGUAUAGGCGGUAGAGCACUGAUCGGGCUAGGGGCCAUAAAGGUUACCGAACCCUGUCAAACUCCGAAUGGUUAUACUGUAGAGCUUGGGAGUCAGACUACGAGUGAUAAGAUCCGUGGUCAAAAGGGAAACAGCCCAGACCACCAGCUAAGGUCCCCAAUGUCGUACUAAGUGGAAAAGGAUGUGGGGUCUCUAAAACAACCAGGAUGUUGGCUUAGAAGCAGCCACCAUUUAAAGAGUGCGUAAUAGCUCACUGGUCGAGAGACCCUGCGCCGAAGAUUACCGGGGCUAAAGUACGAAACCGAAGCUGUGGCUACGACAUAUGUCGUGGGGUAGGGGAGCGUUCUGUGAGGGCUGAAGUCGUUCUGUAAGGAACGGUGGACUUCACAGAAGUGAGAAUGUUGGUAUGAGUAGCGAAAAGAAUGGUGAGAAUCCAUUCCACCGAAAGCAUAAGGAUUCCUGGGCAACGAUCGUCGUCCCAGGGUAAGUCGGGACCUAAUCCGAGGCAUGGAGCGUAGGAGAUGGACAACUGGCAGAUAUUCCAGUACCGGUAAUGAUUGUUUGAGCGAUGGAGUGACACAGGAGGGCAGGCAGGCAGGAGAUUGGUUGUUCCUGUACAAGCGUGUAGGAUGGGACGCAGGCAAAUCCGCGUCCUGUGAGUCUGAGGCGUGAUGUGGAGGUUCCGGAAACGGAACUGAAGCUGCUGACCCCACACUGUCGAGAAAAGCUUCUAGUUAGAGAAUUACCGCCCGUACCGUAAACCGACACAGGUAUGCGGGGAGAGAAUCCUAAGGUGCGCGGGAGAACCCUCGUUAAGGAACUCGGCAAAAUGUACCCGUAACUUCGGGAUAAGGGUAGCCGCUGUUGUGAAGUCUGAACAGACGGAGCAUGAGGCGGUCGCAGAGAAGAGGCCCAAGCGACUGUUUACCACAAACACAGGUGCCUGCUAAAGAGAAAUCUGACGUAUAGGUGCUGACACCUGCCCAGUGCCGGAAGGUUAAGGAAGGAUGUCCGGAGCAAUCCAAAGCAUUCGACCGAAGCCCCGGUGAACGGCGGCCGUAACUAUAACGGUCCUAAGGUAGCGAAAUUCCUUGUCGGGUAAGUUCCGACCCGCACGAAAGGUGUAACGAUUUGGGCACUGUCUCAACGAGGGACCCGGUGAAAUUGAAGUACCUGUGAAGAUGCAGGUUACCCGCGACUGGACAGAAAGACCCCAUGGAGCUUUACUGUAACCUGACAUUGGGUUCUGAUACAUCACGUACAGGAUAGGUGGGAGGCAUGGAAGCGAGGACGCUAGUCUUCGUGGAGCCGCCGUUGGGAUACCACCCUUGAUGUAUCGGAAUUCUAACCGUAGGAGUAACGAAACUCGGGACAGUGUCAGGCGGGCAGUUUGACUGGG
rnacentral:rRNA from 1 species